rnacentral:rRNA from 1 species
GCCAGAGCUAAGAGUGAGACCUGAGCGGCGAACGGCUGCGUAACACGUUGGAACCUGCCCCAGACUCAGGGAUAACCAGUCGAAAGAUUGGCUAAUACCGGAUGGUCUCGUAAGAGUAAAGCUUUUGCGGUCUGGGAGGGGCCUGCGGCCUAUCAGCUAGUUGGUAAGGUAAUGGCUUACCAAGGCUAUGACGGGUAGCUGAUCUGAGAGGAUGAUCAGCCAGAAUGGGACUGAGACACGGCCCAUACUCC